rnacentral:rRNA from 1 species
UACAGAGGUCCCGAGCGUUGUUCGGAUUCAUUGGGCGUAAAGGGUGCGUAGGCGGCGGGGCAAGUCUGAUGUGAAAUCCCGGGGCUCAACCCCGGAACUGCAUUGGAUACUGCCUUGCUCGAGUACUGGAGAGGGAACUGGAAUUUACGGUGUAGCAGUGAAAUGCGUAGAGAUCGUAAGGAAGGCCAGUGGCGAAGGCGAGUUCCUGGACAGUUACUGACGCUGAGGCACGAAGGCCAGGGGAGCAAACGGGG